rnacentral:rRNA from 1 species
GACGAAUCCCAACGGCGUAGCACUACGUUGCUGGGGGAAGUGGCGAAAGGGGCAGUAAGGCGUGGGUAACCUACCCCGGGGACCGGGAUAGCCCUUCUAACGAGGGGGUAAUACCGGGCGAUCUGACCGAGGGGCAUCUUUUGGUCAGGAGAUGAAUUUCGCCUCGGGAGGGGCUCACGUGGUAUUAGCUAGACGGCGGGGUAACGGCCCACCGUGGCCAAGAUGCCUAGCGGGUGUGAGAGCACGACCCGCGCCACUGGCACUGAGACACUGGCCAGACUCCUACGGGAGGCUGCAGUCGAGGAUCUUCGGCAAUGGGCGCAAGCCUGACCGAGCGACGCCGCGUGCGCGAUGAAGGCCUUCGGGUUGUAAAGCGCUGUCGAGGGGGAGGAAAGCCGCAAGGCCUGACCUAUCCCUGGAGGAAGCACGGGCUAAGUUCGUGCCAUCAGCCGCGGUAAGACUAACCGUGCGAACGUUGUUCGGAAUCACUGGGCUUAAAGGGCGCGUAGGCGGGCCUCCCAGUCCUGGGUGAAAGCUUUCGGCUUAACCGGAAAAGUGCCUUGGAUACUGAGAGGUCUAGAGGGAGGUAGGGGCAGCCGGAACUUCCGGUGGAGCGGUGAAAUGCGUUGAUAUCUAAAAGGAACGCCAGUGGCGAAAGCGGGCUGCUGGAUCUCUACUGACGCUGAGGCGCGAAAGCCAGGUGGAGCGAACGGGAUUAAGAUACCCCGGUAGUCCCUGGGCCUAAACCGAUGAGGUACUGG